rnacentral:piRNA from 1 species
UUUUUUUGUAUGCCUUUUAAGUAGAC